rnacentral:rRNA from 1 species
UACGGGAGGCAGCAGUGAGGAAUAUUGGUCAAUGGACGAGAGUCUGAACCAGCCAAGUAGCGUGAAGGAUGACGGCCCUAUGGGUUGUAAACUUCUUUUGUUUGGGAAUAAAGUGCUCUACGUGUAGAGUUUUGUAUGUACCUUACGAAUGAGCAUCGGCUAAUUCCGUGCCAGCAGCCGCGGUAAU